CGUGGGGCGGUGGACCCAGGCU
rnacentral:miRNA from 1 species